rnacentral:rRNA from 1 species
AUUGAACGCUGGCGGCAGGCCUAACACAUGCAAGUCGAACGAGUGGCGGACGGGUGAGUAAUGUCUGGGAAACUAGCUUAUGGAGGGGGAUAACUACGGGAAACUGUAGCUAAUACCGCGUACCAUCGGAUGAGCCCAAGUGGGAUUAGGUAGUUGGUGGGGUAAAGGCUCACCAAGCCGACGAUCCCUAGCUGGUCUGAGAGGAUGAACGGCCACACUGGGACUGAGACACGGCCCAGACUCCUACGGGAGGCAGCAGUGGGGAAUCUUGGGCAAGGGACGAAAGUCUGACCGAGCAACGCCGCGUGAGUGAAGAAGGUUUUCGGAUCGUAAAGCACUGUUAGUAGGGAAGCGGUAUCUAACCAGAAAGCCACGGCUAACUACGUGCCAGCAGCCGCGGUAAUUC